AGAGUUUGAUCAUGGCUCAGGACGAACGCUGGCGGCGCGCUUCAAGCAUGCAAGUCGAACGAGAACCCCGGGCUUGCCCGGGGGGAGAGUGGCGAACGGGUGAGUAACACGUGAGGAACCUGCCCCGAAGACCGGGAUAACGCCGGGAAACUGGUGCUAAUACCGGAUGCCCUCGCCGGAUCGCAUGGUUCGGCGAGGAAAUGGAUUCCGCUUCGGGAUGGCCUCGCGUCCUAUCAGCUUGUUGGUGGGGUAACGGCCCACCAAGGCAGCGACGGGUAGCUGGUCUGAGAGGAUGUCCAGCCACACUGGGACUGAGACACGGCCCAGACUCCUACGGGAGGCAGCAGCUAGGAAUCUUGCGCAAUGGACGAAAGUCUGACGCAGCGACGCCGCGUGCGGGAUGAAGGCCCUAGGGUCGUAAACCGCUUUCAGCAGGGACGAAACUGACGGUACCUGCAGAAGAAGCCCCGGCCAACUACGUGCCAGCAGCCGCGGUAAUACGUAGGGGGCGAGCGUUGUCCGGAUUUAUUGGGCGUAAAGAGCUCGUAGGCGGUUUGGUAAGUCGGAUGUGAAAUCUCCAGGCUCAACUUGGAGGGGUCAUUCGAUACUGCCAUGACUAGAGUUCGGUAGGGGAGUGUGGAAUACCUGGUGGAGCGGUGAAAUGCGCAGAUAUCAGGUGGAACACCCGUAGCGAAGGCGGCACUCUGGGCCGGAACUGACGCUGAGGAGCGAAAGCGUGGGGAGCGAACAGGAUUAGAUACCCUGGUAGUCCACGCCGUAAACGUUGGGCACUAGGUGUGGGGUUCUAUCGACGGAUUCCGUGCCGUAGCUAACGCAUUAAGUGCCCCGCCUGGGGAGUACGGCCGCAAGGCUAAAACUCAAAGGAAUUGACGGGGGCCGCACAGCGGCGGGAGCAUGUUGCUUAAUUCGAUGCAACGCGAAGAACCUUACCUGGU
rnacentral:rRNA from 1 species